GGGGAAUCUUAGACAAUGGGGGCAACCCUGAUCUAGCCAUGCCGCGUGAGUGAUGAAGGCCUUAGGGUUGUAAAGCUCUUUCAGCUGUGAAGAUAAUGACGGUAGCAGCAGAAGAAGUCCCGGCUAACUCCGUGCCAGCAGCCGCGGUAAUACGGAGGGGACUAGCGUUGUUCGGAAUUACUGGGCGUAAAGCGCACGUAGGCGGAUCGAAAAGUUGGGGGUGAAAUCCCGGGGCUCAACCCCGGAACUGCCUUCAAAACUAUCGGUCUGGAGUUCGAGAGAGGUGAGUGGAAUUCCGAGUGUAGAGGUGAAAUUCGUAGAUAUUCGGAGGAACACCAGUGGCGAAGGCGGCUCACUGGCUCGAUACUGACGCUGAGGUGCGAAAGCGUGGGGAGCAAAC
rnacentral:rRNA from 1 species